rnacentral:rRNA from 1 species
UAAGGAAUAUUGGACAAUGGGCGGAAGCCUGAUCCAGCCAUCCCGCGUGCAGGAUGACGGCCCUCUGGGUUGUAAACUGCUUUUGUAUAGGACGAAACGCCUUCAUUUAUGGGGGUCUGACGGUACUAUAAGAAUAAGCAUCGGCUAACUCCGUGCCAGCAGCCGCGGUAAUACGGAGGAUGCGAGCGUUAUCCGGAAUCACUGGGUUUAAAGGGUGCGUAGGCGGGCUUGUAAGUCAGAGGUGAAAGCUGGUCGCUUAACGAUCAAAUUGCCUUUGAUACUGUAGGUCUUGAAAUAUGGUGAGGUUGGCGGAAUGUGACAUGUAGCGGUGAAAUGCAUAGAUAUGUCAUAGAACACCAAUUGCGAAGGCAGCUGACUGGCCAUUAUUUGACGCUGAGGCACGAAAGCGUGGGGAGCGAACAGGAUUAGAUACCCCGGUAGUCC